CCCUGGGGGAAAGGUCCUGCAGCAAGGAUCCACAUUCUGUAACAAAUCCGACAGCUACUUCAACACUAUCAUCGGUGGGCUUUUCCAGCAGUAAUGUCAGCAGCUCAAGAGCAAUAAGCUCAUGAACUAUCUGCUGGUUCACCAGGUGAGCUAUGAAUUUGACCUCAGCAAGUAGUUGUGGCUGCCACAAAAUUUUCACCACAAAUUCAACAUACAUAUAGAUCUCAAAAUAGUAAUGAACCUAUAAAUCAUACUGAAAAGAAUUAAAAAAACAAACCUUAUCAUUGCGCUUAAAUGCCCUCUGUAGCUGUAGUAUGAUCCUCCGCAACAGAAGAUCCCCUACUUCAGGGAACUUUGUGUUUACGACAGCAACCAAAGCUGCAAAUACAUGAGUGAACCCAGGAGACGCCAUUUGAGACUUCAUACAUGAUCGACAGAAUAGACCCCGCCCUCGUAUCAGAUUUUCAGCAAACAGCUCCGGAAUGAUGUUUUUGAUGUUGGUGGCGUUCACUUUGUUCACCAAUCCAUUGAUACUCUUCCUCAGAGCGUCCCAUGUGAUUCUUUGAUAUUCAAGGCUGCCAUUAUCCUCGAUUUCCUUCAUCAUUCUGGCCAACUUAAACGGAGGAACGUACACUCCGCCACUCCUUCCCAUAUUCGCCAAUAUCUUUCUCGUCAAAUUCCUCUCAUUCUUAGAGCUAUUAUAGCUAUCACCAUUCUCGUGACUCGUCAUGCUUCCUAACUCCUUCUCAGGAUAGAAAAGAAAAGAAAAAGUAAAAAAAAAAUUGAAAAAAGAUUUUAAUGAGUUGAUAUAUUGGGCUUGGUUACUUAAUUAGUUUAUGUUGGGCCUUUAUUAUCUUCUAACCAAUUGAGCUAAUGGGCUUCUUUAUAUUGAGCUUAUUUUCUAAUGGGCUUGUUUAUAUUGAGCUUAUUUGUAUAUAUAUGAAACACCAACGGUUAUAAAUUCCCGGCAAAAUUGUGAAAGUUUUCAUUCCAAAACUAUAGGCACAUUUAAAUGAACGUGGAUUUCAUCAUUGACCCCAAUUUAUUUAUAUUAACAUUAUAUAUGAUGAGAGUAAAAUAGAUCUAAAUGCUUAACAACGUAUAUAUGUAUACUUUAUCAGAGUUUAGCAUAUAUAAUGUUCUUUAAUAAUUUAUGUAUUCUUUUAGAUUUUAAAUUUAUUAUUUUUUAUAUUUUAAUGGUGCUAGGUUUAAUUUAUACUUACUUAAAAUAAAUAUUUUUUUCAUAUUCUUUUAGUAUUUUAAUGGUAAAAUUAUGUGUAGGAUGAUAACGUCUAAAAAUAGGAUUUACAUAUAUUUGGAGGACGUACAAAAAAACGAUAUGCAUGCAUAUAUAAUGUUCUUUAAUAAUUUAUAUAUUCUUUUUCUAAUAGCUAAACCUAUUUUUCAAUUUUUUUUAUAGUUGUUGAACAAAUGGUUUUUAAAGAUUAUGUGAUAAUGAACUCGAAUCCGAGAAUUUUAGCGUCAUCCAGUAACUAUUUUAUUUUUAAACCGACACAUAUUAAUUUUUCAAUUAUACUGUGUUUCAUAUAUAUAAUUAAUAAUUAUAAUGUGUUUCAUAUAUAUUGUGUGAGGUAACGUGAUAAUCCCUAUGAAAUAUUUUAUAAAAGUAUACAAUAUUUUGUAACAUUAAAAAUGAUACUAUUUUUUUAUAAAAAUAAAUGAUAUUUUGUAAAAAAAAAUAAUGAUACAAUACAAAUGAUCAUUCUUAUGCAUGCAAAUAACAAUUUUAAUAACAAUAAAAAUAUGUCCCUCCAAUCAGUAAGUAGGUCGGGAGUUUGAGUUAUCUAAAAGUACGAAGUUCACACUUAGGCCUCGUUUGACUAGCUGCUAAGGCUCACGCAAGUUAGUGGAAACGAAGAAAAGGUGGCUUGGGUGGUCUAGAUAUGUUCUAUUGGCCACGCAUUUGGUAGCGCUCGCUUGAAAGCGUGAAACACUUCCUUCUUUUUCGAUAAACAUAAUUGGAAUCGUGAUUAUAAACUGAAAUAUCCAAAAUAACCUCCAUAAUUUCUGCCUGCGGUUCACACACACAGCAUAACCAACGCAGCAUAAACUUACAUUGCUCAUCACACAUUUCAGCUAAUCUAACACACACAACCUCUACUCAAAGCACAAACAUAACAACGCAAGAAGAAUGUUGUGUGGUGAGCCACAAGAUCAAGAUGACUCAUAGUUUCUCCAUUUAACUGAAUAUCGAAAUCUGCAGGAGAUCUAAUAAUACCACAAAACAACUGAUAAUAUGCCAACAGUCUUCAUGCUUCAACAUGGCCCUCGGCAAGUUUUAGCCUUUUCCUUAAAUCCACAGCUUCAACAUCUGGUAUAUUUAAGAAAAACUCAGCUAAGUUUAAAACUACUAACUCAUACAUGAAACUUAAUCGUAAGAUUAAGGAUUAUAUGUGUUUCAUUAUUGUAUCUGAAACAAACUAAGCAUGUAAUUUCAAACAUAAUUUGAUGCCACUCCUAUUUUCCGCAUCCCUUUCUUGGUGCAAUCAAAUGAAGAAUUAAGAUAAUGAAUGGAGAUCACAUGAAAGAGAUAUAUAAUCACAUGACAAAGACUUCUCAUACAAUCUGCUGUUUAGUUUCUACAAGAAAAGGGAAACUAACAUUUUUCAUUGAUAAUUUGCAAAAUAGAAGCAGUUCAAAAAAUAUUAUGACUCUACUACAUUGUGAGCAGUCCUUCAUAUAAAGCACAUUUCUCUAGCAAACAGAAUCUCAAAUUAAGAAACAGCAAGUAUACACACUAUAUUCUUAUUAAAAGAAAAUCCAAAGAUGAGCAGUGGCACAUGAAACUAACCCUGUCAGUAAAAAGGCUGUCCAUUUGGUUGGUCUUAAAAAGAGCAAGCUGGAACUCCUCCUGCAAGUAAACACAUGUUGAUGCAAAAAUACCAAAGCUGAGAACCAGGAUGUGAACCAAAUAACAGGAUUGUAACAAGGCCAAGGGAUUCCUAAUACAACUAGAAACAAAAAACAAGAUGCAUUAAGUAGGAUCUAGUAAUCAAUUAGAAUUACUAGAAACCAAGAAGCAACAAUCUCACCUCACAUCAUCUAUAAAUAUAACGCACAUCAAACAAUAAUAUCCUAAACAAAACUCACAAGUACAAGAAAUGCCAAGCUUUACAACAUCACAUGUAUGAUCAUUAGUUUCUUCUCCUCUUCUUUCGCCUCUUAUCCCUGUCGCUUUCACUCUCACUUGACUCCGAACUUGAUGAUCCCGAUCCAGACCCAGAUCCAUCAGAAUCAGAACCAGAACUAUCAGAUUCAGAAUCGGACUCGGGUACAGCCUUUUGUUGUUGCAUGAUGAGCCGAGGCAUGUUCUUGAGAUACUCCCGCAGGUUUUCUGUGAUCCCUCCAAGCCCAAUGGAAGUGAAGAAGUUGAUAGCAAACCUAGUGUUUUUCGGGUUGUCCUUGGGAAAAAUAGACUCGAACGAGUCUUGCAUGCCAGGGUCGCUUAGACGUUCAUUAAGCAAGCGAAUUCCUAGGUGUUCUGACAAUUCCUGCCAAAAAAAAAAACCAUAGCAUUUGAGGUUUAACAUCAUCUUGAGAAGAGAGCUAGAUAAUAUAAGCAAAAGUCAUGCACGUGGGUAAGGAAAUGAAAAGGCACAAGUUCAUGGGCAGUUUAUACUCUUUUAACAUAUAUGCUUCAGUCAAAUUUCUUACUAACUAGUAACUACUUUUUCUUGAUAUAUCUUGUCAGACUACAUGUGAUUAUGUGAACUAGAAACACAGUAUAUCAAUAACAUGGGCAGUAAAAUUAAUAAACCCUGUCUAAACUGCUGCAAUUACAGCACAGGAAAAUAUUACGAAGAGAGCAUUAAAUGAUUAACCACUUCAAGAACUAAAAGGACCAAAUGAAAUUGCUGAAGAAAACCUGGGUAAUUUUAGUACCUGGAAGAGAAUCUUGAUGAAGAUACGGGAAGAAGAAGUAGUAUCCUCUUCAGUCAACCGAAUGUAGGCCAAAACGUGCCAAGGCAAUGCAUCCGUGCCAAGUAAAUGUGCAAAGAACUUUGCCACAUUGCGCAGUUUAUUGGUUUCCAGCCGGUGAAUCAUGGAAUACUGCUGGACAAAACACUUCUCAAAAUUCUCCUGAUGAAUUCUGUUAAUCAUACAAAAUCUCUGCCCAAGAAGCCCAUAGUAGCGGAGGUACGUUCUCUCCUGGCUGCAACACUCCAAAAGCAUGAUGCAUAAUUCCAUCUGCUCAGGAAAAACAUUAUAUAUCAGGCUACAUGCUCAUGAUGUAAAGAAAUAGCUCGUAAAAAUCUGCAAGAACCAAUAAAUAGCAAACUCUUGUUCGAAUUAUGUAAAACCAGAGAGGAAAGCAAAAUAACAUGCACGAGAUUGUGAUACCCACCUCCUGACCAGACUCUAGUUUGAUCUUCAAUAGCUUGUGCCCAGCUUCUUCAAAAUCAACACUAGACAUAAUUGUCAAAUAGAUAGUUCUCCGAAGAUUAACCAAAUUUGUCUCUGUCUCAUCCUUAAUUUUCAUCUGCUCUUCAUCUUCGUCCUCUUCCUCAUCGUCAUCCUCCUCAUCAUCAUCAUCCUCUGAAUCUGCAUCUUCAUCUGACUCUGCUUCAUCCUCAGAUUCUUCACCUAGUAUUUGCUUCUUUAGGUCUUCAUACUUCUUCUCAUUCUCCACGAAAUGGGGAUCCGGCUGGAAGAUAUCUGUAACAGAACUAUAUUAGCUCGGUGUAACUGAAGGUUAUAAGAGAUAAUAGAAGUCAGCUGCAACCACGCUAUACCUAAAGUGUUCUCAGCAUCUAUCUCAUCCAAAAGAGAAACUUCAUGAGUCAAUUGGUCUUCCUGCUCCACUAGGUCCAGCUCUGGACGGACAGCAGGGUACCCCUACAUCAGGUGCAUUAAUAGGUUUAAAUUUAACACAAAAAAAAAAAAGUAGUAUCAUGUUAAGAAGAAAAAAUCAGAUUAAAAAUUAAGCUUUCCAACUCCAUUAAAAAUGAAGCUCACCUGAAACUUUGCUUUCCGCAAUGCAAAGAGCCUUCAAUUAAGAACUGUACACGCUUAUCUAUUUCUCCUUCAUGAAGAAUACCACGGAAUCGCUCAAAGAUACCUGGUGAAUUAAAAGCACGUGUGUAGAAAGGCCAAGGGUUGCCAAAGAGAGAGAGAGAGAUUCUGCAAAUCACUAAGUGAAAUCAGGUUUGCUUAAACAAUCCACAUCUCAAGUGCAUAGACAGAAAGAUAUUAUCUCAAUGCACUCAGAGAGAUUCUGCUAGUGAAUAAGUCAAGUCUUCUGCACCACCCACAUUAACUCACAAACAAGAAAGUAUAUCAGCAGUCAGUUAAUUAAAAUUUAACACCAAAACACAUCUUUAGUUUAAGGAGAUGAUCAGAUUUAUAGCAACUUAUAGAUCGUAAAAAUAGCUCAUCUCAGAAUAAGUUAAAUAUAAUGCAGGUCCAAAGAGCAGCGUCAUAGCUCUCAACGAUCAUUCCCUCAUCAGACAUACACAUCAACUAAUCCAAUUUCAGAUCAAACACUUUCCUCAAAUUCAGCAAUUGGCCUAGCUUCUACUAUCAGAAACUGAAAUAACUGAAAGAACAAAGAAUAACCUAUACUCAAGAAUUGGAUCCACCAGAAAAGCUUUAAUAGUACUACGUAUAAAAGUUUCUCGUAAAUAAUAACAAAAAAUGGCCAUAGUCCCAUACUCACCGUGCAAUCCCCUGGGGGAAAGGUCCUGCAGCAAGGAUCCACAUUCUGUAACAAAGCCGACAGCUACUUCAACACUAUCAUCGGUGGGCUUUUCCAGCAGUAAUGUCAGAAGCUCAAGAGCAAUAAGCUCAUGAACUAUCUGCUGGUUCACCAGGUGAGCUAUGAAUUUGACCGCAGCAAGUAGUUGUGGCUGCCACAAGAUUUUCACCAUAAAUUCAA
rnacentral:lncRNA from 1 species